UGCAGUAAUGAAAGAAAUCACUGACACUAUUUCAAAUUCAUAGUUUCUUCUGAAGGUUUAAAGAAGAUGAAAACAACAAAGGAGAGAAUUCAUUUGGAGCUGUUCAGAAUGCUUGAAAGAAGAGAAUGAGCUAAUAUUAACAAGAUUCUUCUCUUCUGCAGUGGAAAUGAAGCUAGACACCAUAGAUAACCACUUGGUAGAAACCACUGAGGCACUCUAAAUUGGGAGGCUUUACUGGCAAUAACAGCGUUCAUCAGGAAACUCAUUACGUCACCAUUCAACAAUGGAGGAUCCAGGUACCUCUGAGUUGCACAGUGGCCAGCUGCUGUCCUCCAUUGACACAUCUGAUCUGUUGCAAUAGAAGCAAUGCUGAUACCAUGCACAGGCCCCUUCAGGUACUGGAAGGUUGCUAUGAGGUCUCCUCAGAGCCUUUUGUUCUCCAGGCUGAAGAGCUCCAGCUCUCCCAACCUAUCCCCACAUGGGAGGUGCUCCAGCCCUCUGAUCAUCUUAGUGGCCCUCCUCUGGACCUGCUCCAACACCCUGAUGCCCAUCUUCUGUUGGGGGUCCCAGUAAUAUAAAUAUGAAUGUGAAGAUGAUUUUUUUCCCUCACUAUUUGAUUCAAAUCAUUCAUGGAUUUCACUGUAAACAAUUCCAGCCACAUCAAAGCAGCAUUUUAAUUGGAUGCACAGUUCGCCGAAACAUUCACUAAGCUUUACAAGGCUUUACAAAGAGUUAAUGAAAUAGUUUAAUACAGUAUCACAGUUAAGGAAAAAAAAAAAAGCUAAUAUAAAUUACAUUUAGCUAACCAUCCUACAUGAUAAUUAACAUGAAAAAUGGUAGACUCUUUUCCACUUCUCAGCAAAGAUUAAAUAAUUGAGCAUCACUACUGAGUAAGUAUAACAUUUUGGUUAUUUAACAAAAUAUCCAUACAAGACACAGAUUAGAGAAGUAUGAACCAGCACAAAGAAUUAAAAUUUUUAAAAUUGCAAUUUUUAAAAUGAAUGAAAAUAAGGAUUGUUUAAGGAGUUCUAUUUAAUGUUUCUCUCUAAAUAAGCGCAACAUCCUCGAUGCAAGUAUGAACUGGAAAG
ensembl:lncRNA